rnacentral:rRNA from 1 species
UACGAAGGGUGCAAGCGUUAAUCGGAAUUACUGGGCGUAAAGCGCACGUAGGCGGAUCAGAAAGUUGGGGGUGAAAUCCCGGGGCUCAACCCCGGAACGGCCUCCAAAACUCCUGGUCUUGAGUUCGAGAGAGGUGAGUGGAAUUCCGAGUGUAGAGGUGAAAUUCGUAGAUAUUCGGAGGAACACCAGUGGCGAAGGCGGCUCACUGGCUCGAUACUGACGCUGAGGUGCGAAAGUGUGGGGAGCAAACAGGAUUAGAUACCCUGGUAGUCCCUGAG